rnacentral:lncRNA from 1 species
AGGCAGUUAGGCAGGGAGCUUUAAUCAAGAUUUGUAGCUCUGCGAGGGGCAGCGACAGCAAACAUCCCGCAGGUGUACGCCGUAACUCCACCAUCCGGACUCCAAUGUAGAUUACUCUGGCCGCGUUUGAUCGGCUCUUUGAAAGCCUUUAACAAUUGCCUGUGACGAACGACCGGGCUCAGUGUUUUCUGAAUAAUGCCUUGAGCAUCGAACCUAGAAAUUGUACUUUCCUCAAGAUCCGCUUAAGAGAAUCUGGCUGAUGGCUUUGGUCUGAGAGUUCAGACAUCUCUUGUGCAACUAAGAAAGACCUCAUUUUCCAUUUGCUGGAUCCUCCUGGUUUGUCAUCCCUGAGGCCUGUAAGAAGCCCAUCAGGAGGUCCCCUGCGCUGGAAGGACCAUGUGAGUUCAUCCCAGAUGAUGGGUAGCACCAUGGUUUUAGCAGCUCACACAGUGGAGAACCACAUUCGCUCUGGAAGAGCUUGGCAACAUGUAUUUGGUAACACAACAAGGUCAGCUUGAGCUCUAUCCUUCUGUGGCCAUACUGAACAAAAGGAGAGAGAGAGAGAGAGAGAGAGAGAGAGAGAGAGAGAGAGAGACAGGCAGGCAGGCAGACAGACAGACAGAGGCAGAGACAGGCAGACAGAGACAGAGAAACAGAAAUUAUUCCUGAAUUAUUUUUAAAAGUUAAUUUUAAAAUUCAGAUCAAUUAAUCAGUAAUACAUGCCUGUAGUCUCAGCCCUAGAACAGAUCAAACAGGAGAGUCUCAAGACUAAGGUCAGCCUGGACCACUGGUGACUAUUUCAAAGAAAACAAAUUACCAUUUGGGCAUAAUGGCACACACCUUUUAAUUCCAGUCCUUGGGAGGCAGAGGCAAGUAGGUCUCUGAGUUCAGGACCAGCCUAGUCUACAGAGUGAGUUCCAGGUCAGCCAGGGCUAUACAGAGAAACCUUAUCUCAAACCAGCCAACAAAACCCACAGCAAACCGAAAACAGGUUAUCCUUUAAAAAGACGAUUUAGCUGGGCAGUGGUGGCACAUGCCUUUAAUCCCAGCACUUGGGAGGCAGAGGCAGGCAGAUUUCUGAGUUUGAGGCCAGCCUGCUCUACAAAGUGAGUUCCAGGACAGCCGGGACUAUACAGAGAAACCCUGUCUCGAAAACAAAACAAAACAAAAAAGACAAUUUAGCCAGAUAUGAUGGCUCAUGCCUUUAAUCCCAGCACUUGCAAGGUAGACACAGGCAGCGAGUUCAAAUCUAUCUAGGUCUAUAUAUUGAAUUCCAGGACACCCAGAGGUACAGAUUAGAGAGACUUCAUGUUUAACACACACACACACACACACACACACACACACACACACACACACACACACACACGUGAAUACACAGAUUUAUGUGCAUUCUAUCCCAGAAAGCCUGUGGUGAUUAUAAAACAGUAAAAAUAGGUCACAGUAGACAGCACCUUCGAUAUCAGCUUAGAACACUUCCCUGUUACUUCUGUGUCACUUUUGGUGUGGCAGUUAUUAUAUUUCUAUAAUUCAUCUUUUGAGGGAGGCUCAGAAUCGAUAUGAAAUGAUAUAUGUUUACCUCUUUACUCUGUGAAUCAGGCUCUCAUAUAUUCUAAGCUGGCCUUGAACUCCUGAUAUAGCAGAGGGUGGCCUUGAUCUGGGAGCAAAGGUGCUGUCAUUUCCAGCAGAGAAAUGAUAUCUAGACCAAAGACACAGUUUUUAUUAUAUAGCCAAUGCUUCUUUAAAUGCCUGGCAACCCUCCCUUCUGCAGUGCUUGAUGGUGUGUUACUGAAGGAGUUUUCCUAAACACCAGCACAAAUGACCGGGCACAUAUCAAGCAUACAAGACCUGGAGGAGGGAGGGGGCCCUGCCGAUUCCCCAGAUGCAGUGAUGGGUGAGAAAAGUAAGGGUGGACCAGAGCAGCCACAGCAUUGAAAGUCUGUGGUUUCAUUUCACAGAAGUAGUUGUUCAGCUCUGUACUUGGUUUGCCAUUGGCAGUGUUGUAUAGGGGGCUGAGGCUCAAACCCAGGCCCUUACCACUAGGGACUGUCAUUCUUAGCCUUCCAACCUUAAAAACAAACAAAACAACAACUACAAAAACUUAUUUUGAUUUUCAUUUAAUUUCAUAUUGCACCCAGGAACUAUUUUAAGAAAUCUUGUGUCAUAACCUGUGACCAAAAGUUAAGUAGCAGUUUUCCUAAUGUGUCUGCGUUUGCUAUAAAGAAUUGAAACUGAGCCAGGCAGUGUUGGUGCAUGCCUUUAGUCUCAGCACUUGGGAGGCAGUAGCAGAUGAAUUUCUGAGUUCGAGGCCAGCCUGGUCUACAGAGUGAGGACAGGACAGCCAGGGCUAUACAGAGAAACCCUAUCUCCAAAGCCGGAACAAAAAAAGGUUUGAAACUGUGUGAGUAUUUUCAUUGUCUGGCACUUUAUAACAGGUCUUAUUUGGUAUUGACAUUGGUAUUUGGAAUGAGCAUUUGAAGGUUUUAAAAGCUUCAGUAUUUAUUUUGUUCUAAAAUAAAGUACCUUUUCCCUCUGUG